rnacentral:rRNA from 1 species
AGCGAACGCUGGCGGCAGGCCUAAAACAUGCAAGUCGAACGCCGUAGCAAUACGGAGUGGCAGACGGGUGAGUAACGCGUGGGAACGUACCCUUUGGUUCGGAACAACACAGGGAAACUUGUGCUAAUACCGGAUAAGCCCUUACGGGGAAAGAUUUAUCGCCAAAGGAUCGGCCCGCGUCUGAUUAGCUUGUUGGUGAGGUAACGGCUCACCAAGGCUACGAUCAGUAGCUGGUCUGAGAGGAUGAUCAGCCACACUGGGACUGAGACACGGCCCAGACUCCUACGGGAGGCAGCAGUUAGGAAUCUUGGACAAUGGGCGCAAGCCUGAUCCAGCCAUGCCGCGUGAGUGAUGAAGGCCUUAGGGUUGUAAAGCUCUUUCAGCGGGGAAGAUAAUGACGGUACCGCAGAAGAAGCCCCGGCUAACUUCGUGCCAGCAGCCGCA